rnacentral:rRNA from 1 species
AUGGUAGAUCAUGCAUGGAUGUAUAAUGGUUGGCAGUAUGGUCAAAUUCCCUCUAACCUAUGGCUUGAACAAACCAACCGAUUUCUAGAGCAUGCAUUCUCCUUUCCCGGCGUAGCCGAAGGUGGUAAAAUCAGGUGUCCAUGUGCCAAGUGUCGUAAUUAUAAUAAGCACGGUAGGGAUGAGGUAGAGAAACACUUGUAUAAAUACGGGUUCAGGGAAAACUAUGAAACGUGGAUAGAACAUGGUGAGAAGUAUGUUCCUAGCCAACAGGGAUCUUCCUCUGCCACAAACUGUGCGAGGCAUGAUGAAAUUUUUCCAGGCGUAGCCAAAGGUGGUAAUUCCUGA